GACGAACGCUGGCGGCGUGCUUAACACAUGCAAGUCGAACGAAGUGGCGAACGGGUGAGUAACGCGUAAUCAACCUGCCCUUCAGAGGGGGACAACAGUUGGAAACGACUGCUAAUACCUCAUACUGAAGGAGGGGAUUGCGUCUGAUUAGCUAGUUGGAGGGGUAACGGCCCACCAAGGCGAUGAGCAGUAGCGGGUCUGAGAGGUGGAUCCGCCACACUGGGACUGAGACACGGCCCAGACUCCUACGGGAGGCAGCAGUGGGGAAUUUUGGACAAUGGGCGCAAGCCUGAUCCAGCCAUGCCGCGUGUCUGAAGAAGGCCUUCGGGUUGUAAAGGACUUUUGUCAGGGAAGCGGUACCUGAAGAAUAAGCACCGGCUAACUACGUGCCAGCCGCCGCGGUAAUUG
rnacentral:rRNA from 1 species